rnacentral:rRNA from 1 species
UACGAGGGGGGCAAGCGUUGUUCGGAAUUAUUGGGCGUAAAGGGCGCGUAGGCGGCGCCACAAGUCACUUGUGAAAACUCUGGGCUCAACUCAGAGCCUGCAAGCGAAACUGUGGUGCUGGAGUAUGGGAGAGGUGCGUGGAAUUCCCGGUGUAGCGGUGAAAUGCGUAGAUAUCUGCAGGAACACCCGUGGCGAAAGCGGCGCGCUGGACCACAACUGACGCUGAGGAACGAAAGCUAGGGGAGCAAACAGG